rnacentral:lncRNA from 1 species
UUUUGAUCAUAAGUAGCAUUCAAAUAGUGGACCUUUCAUUCAAAUUUAACAUAAUACACAACUUUACUUAAACAAAACCAAAUUACAAUAUGAUAGUGUUCAAAUCACCAAAUCAAUUUAAAACAAAGACUAGAUGUGGAUUACACAACACUUAAAUACAGCUAAAUACAAAGCCUUAUACAUAACAUAGCAUUUUGCCUUGAUAAAAUACACAACAGGCAAAUUUUUCCUCUAUGUAAUUAUUGACUAUAUGUAGCAUAAUAAUAUUUUGGCUUUAUUAAGCAAGUAGUUCUUGCCAUGUCUCAUAUUAGCUUUGAAUAGCAACUCCAAGAUUAGAAAUUUCCAUCUUUGGUAUAAUCUUCUCUGGCUCUACAGUUUUGGCAACUGAGUUGACUUGGUUUUCAUAAGCUGAAUUAUGAACUCCAAAUGCUGCUCUUCCAGAAGGAUCAAGGUUGCUUGACCAAGAAGCGUCCCACUCAAUAGCUUUCUCUGUGCUACAUGCAACACUAGCUCCUCCAGGAACUGUUAGCCUUGCUGAGUUCUACAAAUAGAAACACAAGAGAUUUGAUUAGGCCUUUCUUAAGGUUCUGUUGGGAUAAACAACUUAAUUAAGUGCUUAUCAUAUAAGUUCUUUUGUAUAAGCUAUUUUUAUAACAAAAGAUAAAAUAAAUUGAAACAGUUGUAAUUGUAAGCUAUAAGCUGUUUUCAUAAGCUAUCCCGGAAAGCUUAUGAAGCUUGGUGACAAAUCAAGAUUUGAUCAAUUAAAUUACCUGAGGGAAAAACCUCUCAAAGAUCAUUCUAUAGUAAUAUGCUUCUUUGGUAAGUGGAGUGUUGAAAGGAAAGAUGUGAGAAGCAUUGAGCAUCAUUCUAUCAGUGACCUAUACGAAAAAUUUCACGAAAGAAUUAUUAGCGACAUGCCUUGCAACAAAAGUAAAAUGAAAUUGGAAAGAAAAUGUUGGAUUUAUGUUUACAUGUUUUGCAGCAUGGUCCUUAAUUCCAUCAAUCCAGCCAUAGCCAACUCCAUCACUGAACUGUUCCUUCUGUCUAUAUAAAAUGUGCUGCAUGAUAUUAAAUUUAUAAGAUGUUAGUUUCACUAAUUAAAUUUGCAAAUUAUUAACAGAAGUUGUAGCAAAUGGGAAAGUUGAGUAGAGUAGAGUACCUUAGGCAGAUAAGGAUUCUCUUCAUCAUCAAAAGCCUUCCUUAGAAUCCAUUUCUCAAUUCUUCCUUCUUCAUGUUUUAUCUGAACAAAUUGAAUAAAAACACUUAAUAAAAUGUUACAUAUUUAAGUAAUGUUUCAUAGCAACAUUUUUUGUAUUUAUGUAUCAUACCAUUUUGUACUCAGGAUCAAUGUCCAUUGCAACUUUGAUAAAAUCCUUGUCCAAAAAUGGUACCCUAGCUUCUAGUCCCCAUGCAUAUGUUGAUUUAUUUGCUCUCAAACAAUCAUACCUAUGAAGUGCUUUGAUCUGCAUUAAAGAAAAAAGAAAAUUAUCUAAUCGUAUAAAAGAAUUUCACUUCGACAACUUCAUUUUUUUCCUUCAAACAUGAGUGAUGUAAUGUAGUUCUAUUACCUUGCGGCAUGUUUCUUGGUGAAACUCUUCUUUGUUUGGUGCCUUAUGGAAAUACAAAUACCCUCCAAAAAUCUCAUCAGAUCCUUCUCCAGAAAUCACCCAUUUGACUCCUGAUGAUUUGAUCUUUCGAGACAUCAGAAACAUAGGUGUUGCUGCCCUAAUUGUAGUUACAUCAUAUGUUUCUGUAUGAUAGAUGACAUCCUCGAUCGCAUCUAUGCCAUCCUGCAUAGAACACAAAAAAUAAUAAUUAAAUAAUGAAUCAUAAUUUUGUUUGCCCCAUAUGGUAUUAUAAAAAAUGUAAGACCGCAAUCUAGAUUGUGACUUCAAGUAUUUUGAUGUCAGCGUGCGAUUAUGAUCAAAGUCGCAUCACCCCUAUUUGACUCCAACUUUUCGCAAUUUUGAGUAGACAAGUACUAUUUGAAGUAGAUUUGUGGCCCAAAUUAAGACCAUGACAUCAAUGUUUUUGAUGUCUAUGUGCAAAUAUGAUCAAAGUCGCAUCAGCGUUUUUGGACCGCAACUUUUCACAAUCUUGAGCAGACAAGUACUAUUUCAAGUCGAUUUGUGACAUAAAUUCUGACGUGACACCAAGGUUUUUGAUGUCUGCAUGCAAUUAUCAUUAAAGUCGCAUCAGCCCUAUUAGACCGCAACUUUUUACAAUUUUGAGUAGACAAGCCCUAUUAGACCGCAAUAAGGACUGCGACAUAAAUUUUUAAAAGGUUUGUAUGCGAUUAUAAUCAAAGACGUAUCAGCCCUAUUUGACCGCAACUUUUCACAAUUAUGAGCAGAAAAGUAAUAUUUGAAGCAGAUUAUAUACCUGAAUAGUAAACUGAAAUUCAUGAUGGACAGUUCCUAAAAAGUCUGCUACUUCUCUUCCAGCCUUAAGGUCAGGUGCACCCUAAUCAACAUACCAUAAAUAAAGAUUAAAGCAAAUAGACAACCUUGAAUGAAUUUUUUUUUUCCAUUAAAAAACUAAUUAUCAACUAAAAUUGCUUUUCCAAUCAAAAUUGAAAAUAGAUGCAUACCUUAAGCCCUACACAGAAUGAGUGUAAUUUUGCUCCCCAUUGUUUAGCAGCUUUUGUGCCAGCCAGGUAUCUAGCAGUGACUGCUGCAACCAAUGAAGAAUCCAAACCUCCAGAUAGUAAAACACCGAACGGCACAUCAGUCAUCAACCUUUUUAUCACAGCCUGUAAUCAAACACAUAAAUCGUAUUAAUUUUACUGAGUCUAACUCAACCUUACAAAACCGACUUAAAAAUGUGAGAAUUGUCUAAGCGCUUUAUAAACUCUUGGUCAAUGUGUUUGUGAGUCUUACCUUCUCAAAGGCAUUCCUCAAAACUAGAGGAUCAUAAGGGGUUGUUGGAAUAAUAGCCUCGUUGAACCACGGAGGAUUGUACCAUCUACGAAACUCCCGGUCUUUGCUCGAGUACAAGUGACCAGGUGGAAAAACUUCAAAAUGUUCACAUUCAUCAUUCAGCCCUUUUAAUUCUGAUGCAAUCCACACAGAGCCUACAGUAACAAAAAUGUCCCAAACUUAUCACAAAUCAUUCAAAUUUUUGGCUCUUUAGUUAUAAAAUCGAACAAAUGAACUCAUGCUAAUUACCAUCUAGUCCCCAACCAAUGUACAAGGAAGUGACACCUAUAGCAUCCCUUGCAACAAUGAAACUGUUGUCACGAGUAUCCAACAGAACAAAGGAAAAGAUACCAUCCAACAUGUCCACAAAAUUUUCUCCAUACUCCUCAUACUAACAACAAAAAUUACCAAAAUCAAUAACAUUAAUGGUACAAUAAUUAGCAAUGUUUUAAAUAAAGGUCCACGACCGCAACCUAGACCGUGACAUACUAACCAGGUGUGCAAUAACAUCACAGUCACAUUGUGUACGGAAUUUGUGAUUAGGCAAUUGUUUCCUGAGGUCUUCAUGAUUGUAGAUCUCUCCAUUCACCUGAAUUUUAUGAUAAAAUUUAUAUGUUACUACCACUUUAAAAACUAUAUAGUAUAAAAAAUGUAAUAAACUAUAGAAUAUUAUUACCGUGACAAUAAUUGAUUUAUCUUCAUUGAAGAGAGGUUGAUCACCAGAAGCAGGAUCAACAAUGGCUAACCUUUGAUGAGCCAAAUAGUUAUCACCAUGUUGGUGGAGCCCACUCCAGUCUGGACCACGGUGCUUCAAUCUGUGACAUCAUAUGAAAAAAUAUUAAUAUAUGAUCAAUCAAAUUACUUAUCAAACUAGCCGAAGUUACUUAUUAAUUAUUAUUCUAAUUGGACUUUAUGUAUAUGAACAUGUAAUUAAAAAUUCCCACGUGAUUUAUUAAAAUAAAAAUUCCACAUGCAAGACAAAUUAAUUUUAUCUCUUUUUCGUUGAUUUUGUUGGGUUAAUUGCCGAACCAAUUGUUGCAUCAUAACAUGUGGACCCCACAUACUACUUUUUUUAACCUCAAUAAGCCAAAAUUAUGUAACAAAAUGUGUCAUAGUUGUCUACUCCCCUUGUCAAAGUCAAGUAUGUUUAUCCUAAACUACUAGUAGUUACUAGUUACAAGUUACAACUGAAAGAUAAGCAUUGGGGCCCAAUAUAAAUGGAUAAUUAUAUUUUCAACUCUUACAUAUAAUUCUCUUUAAAAUAUUUGAUGGUUUUUAUUUUAUUCAAUGGGAAAAUAUUGGAUGAACUAGUAGAAACUAGACAUCACUAUGACAUUUAAUACGAGGAAACAAAUAAUAAGCACCACCAUUUCUAGUAUCCUUUAGUUGUAUAUCACUUAUCAUAUUAACUUAUAAUAAUAUAAAUACCAUAUUAUAUUAUAUCCAUAUAUGUAUUAGUAGUAUUUUUAGCAACUUCAUGCUAAAAAUACUUAUACCCUCUUAACACCAAAAUAUCUUGAAGCUCCAUGUCAAAUUUUAAAAUAUAAGAAUAUUAAUCCUUGAUAUCAAUCACAACCACUCCCAUGAGCUUCAAACCAUAAAAUACGUCUUUGCGAACUUAACUUAAUUGGUAUAUAAUAUAUGCAAAUUUCAGGGUUCAAAUCCCAAUCACCACAAAAAAAAAACAAAUACAAAAAUAAAAAAUAAAAAACUCUAGGUAAAGAAGAGUUUGAUCAUGGAUGAAAAAACAUGCAAAAGAAGAAACUUUGAAUACAAAUAUCAAAGUUAACCAUAAUAUAAGAUAUAUAUGUAUGUAUAUGUAUAUGUAUGCAUGAAAAUGAGAAGAAUAAUUGCCUGCGAGAAAGCUCAAGGAUGCGAACCCUCUUAGCUUGUGAGUCAUCAGAGCAACCAAGUACAGCAAGUAUACCACACAUUGUGAUGAUCUAUAAGGGUUUUUGUUUGAAGAGAGAAAGAAAAAAGGAUUGGAUAAAAUGUGAAGAGGAUAAAGAAAAGAAGAAGAAGACACGAAAAACAAGGUGCAAAGAGUGUGGAAUAACCAACACGUAGAAUGG